UACGGAGGGUGCAAGCGUUGUUCGGAAUCACUGGGCGUAAAGGGCGCGUAGGCGGCCACCGCAAGUCGGUUGUGAAAUCUCCGGGCUUAACCCGGAAAGGUCAAUCGAUACUGCGGGGCUAGAGUGCAGAAGGGGCAACUGGAAUUCUCGGUGUAGCGGUGAAAUGCGUAGAUAUCGAGAGGAACACCUGCGGCGAAGGCGGGUUGCUGGGCUGACACUGACGCUGAAGCGCGAAAGCUAGGGGAGCGAACGGG
rnacentral:rRNA from 1 species